AGGUACAGAGAAGUUGAAAUCAGGCAGUUGCAAAGAAUUUUGGGUACAGCUCCCCAGUUGUCUGAGGCCACAUGAAGUGACAAUCUCAGAAAGAAGGCCUGCAUAAAGACAAAAGUGAAGGUCUGUUCUCCAUACCUAGCCUGAUACAAUAGCUCUUGCUCUGGGAAACUGAACUGGAAACUGGCUCAGUGUCUUGCCAAAGGCCACAAAGGAUAUCGGUGCCGGAGAACGAACAGACCCCAGGAAUCCCCACUCUGUAGCCUCCGUGUGAUCACUUUGAAAACUUAAUUUCCUUCUGUUGGACUGAUUUUAAAGAGAAUAAUGAAACAGGGAAUUCUGCUCUCUUCCUUAUGGCCUGAGGGAGGAAGUCAGGAAAAAGUUCAUCUGAUGACUUAAUUAAUUU